rnacentral:siRNA from 1 species
CUUUAAGCCAUUUCUAUCGGUGA